rnacentral:rRNA from 1 species
AUUGAACGCUGGCGGAAUGCUUUACACAUGCAAGUCGAGCGGCAGCACGGGGGCAACCCUGGUGGCGAGCGGCGAACGGGUGAGUAAUACAUCGGAACAUGCCCAGUCGUGGGGGAUAACACUUCGAAAGAAGUGCUAAUACCGCAUACGUCCUGAGGGGGAAAGCGGGGGAUCGCAAGACCUCGCGCGAUUGGAGUGGCCGAUGUCAGAUUAGCUAGUUGGUGGGGUAAAGGCACACCAAGGCAACGAUCUGUAGCUGGUCUGAGAGGAUGAUCAGCCACACUGGGACUGAGACACGGCCCAGACUCCUACGGGAGGCAGCAGUGGGGAAUUUUGGACAAUGGGGGCAACCCUGAUCCAGCCAUUCCGCGUGAGUGAAGAAGGCCUUCGGGUUGUAAAGCUCUGUCGGCAGGAACGAAACGGUGAGCUCUAACAUAGCUUGCUAAUGACGGUACCUGAAGAAGAAGCACCGGCUAACUACGUG